GCCCGGAUGGCGAAAUUGGUAUACGCAAGAGACUUAAAAUCUCUCAUCCGAAAGGGUAUGCGGGUUCGACCCCCGCUCCGGGCACCA
rnacentral:tRNA from 17 species